AAUAAAGUGCCUGAAAAAGGAUUAUUUUGAUAGAAUAAAUUAUGUAUAAAUAUACCUUUAUUA
rnacentral:tRNA from 1 species